CAGUAGCCGCGGUAACACGAAGGGGGCUAGCGUUGCUCGGAAUGACUGGGCGUAAAGGGCGCGUAGGCGGUUCGUACAGUUGGAUGUGAAAUUCCUGGGCUUAACCUGGGGGCUGCAUUCAAUACGUGCGGGCUUGAGUGUGGAAGAGGGUUGUGGAAUUCCCAGUGUAGAGGUGAAAUUCGUAGAUAUUGGGAAGAACACCGGUGGCGAAGGCGGCAACCUGGUCCAUAACUGACGCUGAGGCGCGAAAGCGUGGGGAGCAAACAGGAUUAGAUACCCCCGUAGUCCCUGUCUCUUAUAC
rnacentral:rRNA from 1 species